rnacentral:lncRNA from 1 species
UCUUUUUUCAGGUCCUUUGACUUUUGAAUAUAUAUCAUUUGUCCAAUUAGUAGAUUCCUGGGUGCUUUGUAAAUUUUGCGAACUCUCUGCUUCAACCAUUUUCUUUUUUAGUUCAUCCUACAUAAAUACACCUUAUAAAUUAUUAUCAUACAUCAAUAUCCUGAAUACUUCAAUAUCACUAAACAAAACUCAUCUCCAUAUUAGUUACUCCCCCUCACCCCAUCACUAAACAAAACUCAUCUCCAUAUUGAGCAAAACACAGAAAAAGUAUUGAAAUAAAAAUUAAAAUUCUUACAAUUACAAUAGCAGCCUUUUCAAUAACAAUGCUUCCAUCUUUUCGAGUUCGAGUGUCAAUAUAAAUUUUUGCCCUAGAAGGUUGCACUCCCUUAGCCUUUGU